rnacentral:rRNA from 1 species
AGUGAACGCUGGCGGUAGGCCUAACACAUGCAAGUCGAACGGCAGCACAGUAAGGGCUUGCUCUUACGGGUGGCGAGUGGCGGACGGGUGAGGAAUACAUCGGAAUCUACUUUUUCGUGGGGGAUAACGUAGGGAAACUUACGCUAAUACCGCAUACGACCUACGGGUGAAAGCAGGGGAUCUUCGGACCUUGCGCGAUUGAAUGAGCCGAUGUCGGAUUAGCUAGUUGGCGGGGUAAAGGCCCACCAAGGCGACGAUCCGUAGCUGGUCUGAGAGGAUGAUCAGCCACACUGGAACUGAGACACGGUCCAGACUCCUACGGGAGGCAGCAGUAGGGAAUAUUGGACAAUGGGCGCAAGCCUGAUCCAGCCAUACCGCGUGAGUGAAGAAGGCCUUCGGGUUGUAAAGCCCUUUUGUUGGGAAAGAAAAGCAGCGGGUUAAUACCCCGCUGUUCUGACGGUACCCAAAGAAUAAGCACCGGCUAACUUCGUG